rnacentral:rRNA from 1 species
UACGAAGGGGGCUAGCGUUGUUCGGAAUUACUGGGCGUAAAGCGCGCGCAGGCGGUCCUUCAAGUCAGAGGUGAAAGCCCAGGGCUCAACCCUGGAAUUGCCUUUGAGACUGAGGGACUUGGGUACGGGAGAGGUGAGUGGAAUUCCGAGUGUAGAGGUGAAAUUCGUAGAUAUUCGGAAGAACACCAGUGGCGAAGGCGGCUCACUGGCCCGUUACCGACGCUCAGGCGCGACAGCGUGGGGAGCAAAC